AUGAAUUGCUUGAAACGAUUUUCAGAAACCUUCACAGUAAACAAACUUGUUAGUAGCAUAAGCGGUGAUGUAACGAUUGAAAGAGGGAGGUCUACUGUUGUUGUUGACACCGGAAGCACGAGUAGCAAAAGGGUUUGGCCGGAAUCAAUGAGGUGGGGUUUCGACUAUGUUACAUAUGGCCGUGGUAAUGGUGGAGUGGGUAGGAGUUUGGCUAGUGAAAUUGAAGGAAUAUGGUGGAUAUGGGGGGUAUCGAGGUGGGGGUUAGGCGACUGUGUUACAGAUGGCGGCGGUAACGGUGGAAUGGGUAAGGGUUUGAGAGAAUAA